UACGGAGGGUGCAAGCAUUGAUCGGACUUACUGGGCGUAAAGGGCGCGUAGGCGGUAUAGAAAGUCAGAUGUGAAAUUCCGGGGCUCAACCCCGGAGCUGCAUUUGAAACUUCUAAACUAGAGGAUGGUUAGGGAAAACGGAAUCCCACGUGUAGCGGUGAAAUGCGUAGAUAUGUGGAAGAGCACCGGUGGUGAAGACGGUUUUCUGGGCCAAUCCUGACGCUGAGGCGCGAAAGCUAGGGGAGCAAACAGG
rnacentral:rRNA from 1 species